CCUACGGGAGGCAGCAGUGGGGAAUAUUGCACAAUGGGGGAAACCCUGAUGCAGCCACGCCGCGUGAGUGAGGAAGUAUUUCGGUAUGUAAAGCUCUAUCAGCAGGGAAUAGAAAAGAAGGUCGCUGAAAAAGAAGCACCGGCUAACUACGUGCCAGCAGCCGCGGGAAUACGUAGGGGGCACGCGUUAUCCGGAUUGACUGGGUGUAAAGGGAGCUUAGUCGGAAAGGCAAGUCAGAAGUGAAAACCCAAGGCGUAACCAUGGGACUGCUUUUGAAACUGUCAAACUAGAGUACGGGAGAGGUAAGCGGAAUGCCUAGUGUAGCGGUGAAAUGCGUAGAUAUUAGGAGGAACACCAGUGGCGAAGGCGGCUUACUGGACCGAAACUGACGUUGAGGCUCGAAAGCGUGGGGAGCAAACAGGAUUAGAUACCCUUGUAGUC
rnacentral:rRNA from 1 species